rnacentral:rRNA from 1 species
UACGUAGGGGGUAAGCGUUGUCCGGAAUCAUUGGGCGUAAAGCGCACGUAGGCGGCCCGGUAAGUCCGCUGUGAAAGUCCAGGGCUCAACCCUGGAAAGCCGGUGGAUACUGCCGGGCUAGAGUCCGGAAGAGGCGAGUGGAACUCCUGGUGUAGCGGUGGAAUGCGCAGAUAUCAGGAGGAACACCAAUAGCGAAGGCAGCUCGCUGGGACGGUACUGACGCUGAGGUGCGAAAGCGUGGGGAGCAAACAGG